rnacentral:misc_RNA from 1 species
UUUCCGUAGGUGAACCUGCGGAAGGAUCAUUAAAAAAUUGGACUCCAUUGGUGAGUUCAUUAAUAAUCCUAACCCUUUGUGAAUUUGUUUGUUUGAAUAAUUUUUUUUUCCAAAAAAAAUUAUUGAAUGUCUUUUCCCUGUUUUGGUGGAGCUUGUAAAGUGAAACCAGGCAGGGGAAUGGCAAACAAUAAUUAUUUUUUGAAAAAGACCUUUUUUUAAAAUUAAACUUUUUGUAUUCAUUUGUCUAAAAUUAUUUUUAUAAUAUAAAAACAACUUUUGACAAUGGAUCUCUUGGUUUCUCGCAACGAUGAAGAACGCAGCAAAAUGCGAUAAGUAGUGUGAAUUGCAGAAUACGUGAAUCAUCGAAUCUUCGAACGCAUAUUGCACUUUUUUAGUUUACUAAAAAAAGUAUGCCUGUUUGAGUAUCAGUAAAAAUAUUCUCAUAAAAAAUUUAUUUUUUAUGGUUAUGAGUGUUUUAACAACGAUAACAAGUUGUUUCACUUUAAAUUCUUUGUUAUCAAAAAAAUCAUUAAAAGCUAAUUUUAAAGAUUUUUUAAAAUUGGAUAAAAUUUUCCCGUAAAAAAGGAAUAACCUAAACAAUUUUUAAAAAAUUAAAAUUGGUUUGAUUUUUCUUGAUUUAAAAAGGAAAAAAAAAGUAAAAAUUAACUUGAUCUCAAAUCAGAUAAGAGUACCCGCUGAACUUAAGCAUAUCAAUAAGCGGAGGAAAAGAAACUAACUAGGAUUCCCUCAGUAACGGCGAGUGAAGCGGGAAGAGCUCAAAUUUUGAAAUCUUCAAGGUUUUUACCUCGAACGAAUUGUAGUUUAAAGAAGUGUUUUUCUGUUGGAGUUUUUGGUAAAAGUUCUUUGGAAAAGGACAUCAUAGAGGGUGAAGAAUCCCGUAUUUGACCAUUAUCUCCAGCUUUGUGAUACACUUUCAAAGAGUCGGAUUGUUUGGGAAUGCAGUCCAAAAUGGGUGGUAAAUUUCAUCUAAAGCUAAACACUGGCGAGAGACCGAUAGCGAAACAAGUACCGUGAGGGAGAGAUGAAAAGAACUUUGAAAAGAGAGUUAAACAGUACGUGAAAUUGUCAAAAGGGAAGCGUUUGACACCAGUGUUGUUUUCUCGAAAAUCAAUUAAAAAAGGCCGGAUUUUUGUGUUGUAUUGACUUUAUCAGCUUUCUGCACUUUUUUCUUGUCUUUUUUAAUGCACUUUUCGUUUAACAAGUUAACAUCAAUUUCUUUUGUUGUAAAAGGGUCAUUGGAAGGUGGCUUUCUUUUCGGAGAAAGUGUUUAUAGCCUUUGGCCUCUGCAAUCGGAGAGAUUGAGGUCUGCAGCGUAGAUCCUUCGGGGUUAGAUACAUUUGUGCUAAGUUAUAGCCUUUCAUAGACAACCUGUUGACUAUGAUCAGUCAUGUAGCUUACUCGCUUAUGCUUAUUU